GGAGUCCUGUUCUGGUGGAUUCUUACUCACCAGGUGUCUUAGUCUCAUUGGGAAUCAGACAUCGCACAAAGUGAGGAAAAACAACUGAAUGUGGAAGGUGUGAAAAAACAAACCCUGAACACAGCAGACACGGUCUGGAAAGAGGAGCCCUUCUUCUUCCCACCCUUCUUGCUUGCCCCGGAGUCACCUGGAGACAGACAGACACAGGGGAUAUGUCUGUAACAUUCCUCCAAGAAGCCCACUGCUCCACGGUCCCUCCUCCUUGGGA